GAUUGGCGAAAAACAUUUUCCAUUUGGAAAAUGAACUCCAAAGCAAGGGAAAAUGGGUUACAUUUUAGGGAAAAUGUCUUACCCUUUCAAUUUCCGUAAGACAUUUUCCGUGCUCUCCUCUCUAUCGCCUCCUUCAUUCCUUCCUUCAUUUCCGGUAGAAAACUGCUUUUGUUUAUCGAUUUUCCAGUCACUUGUUUUUUUAAUUAUUCAAUACUUGUUUUUUUAACACAAUUACAAAUAAUUUAUUUGAUAUUAGUUGUUGUAGGCCAAUUUUGGCCCGUUUACAAAAUAUCCAGGCCCAUUAAACCAUUUAACCCAUCCUCAAACCAAAAACCUAAAAUUAACCUAGCCCAACAUCCAAGCCCAAUCCUAAAACCCUAAACUCCCACUUGCCUCUUCCCACUCUCCCAUGCUGUCUGCCACCAGCACCACUCCCACUCUCCCAUGCUGUUUGCCACCAGCACCAUCACACACCCCACCGUCCAUGCCCAUUCCCUGAAAACAAGCAAAACAGAAGCAAGAAUAGAAAAUAAUAAUAAAGUAUGUAAAAAUUAGGCCAUAUAAAAGCCACCCAAACAACAAACGAAAAAGGGGGAGGAUGUACAAAAAGUUUGUAUCAAAAACAAAAGAAAAAAGAAAAGCUUAGAAGGUGAAACUUCAAUUUUUUUCCUCUGUUAUCUCAAUCUUUCUGUUUAUCUUUGCUUUGUUUUAUUUUUUUUUCAUUAACUUACUUUAAAACGAAAAAGAAUCAAGGAAGAAAAGAGUCUUACCGGAUCUACCCCAUGGCCGCUCCCCUCUCCGUUCGGCACGGUGAACCGCCGACGAUGAUGGGUGUUGAAACCUUAACUGAAGAAAGGAGGAAGAGAUAAAAAGGGUGGGUUUGAGAGCAGUUUUUCAGAAAAAAAUAUAUAAAGGUUAAAUGGUUUUAAAAUAAAAAAUUGAAAAGUCAAAAGGAAAC
rnacentral:lncRNA from 1 species